AGUCACUGACAUUAGAUACCCGUGUAGUCCAGGGUGUAAACGCUGCAGACUUGGUGUUGGAGGCCCUUUGGGGGCAUUCAGUGCCGGAGAGAAGUUGUUAAGUCUGCUACUGGGGAGUACGUCCGCAAGGAUGAAACUUAAAGGAAUUGGCGGGGGAGCACCGCAACGGGAGGAGCGUGCGGUUUAAUUGGAUUCAACACCGUAAAACUCACCAGGGAAGACUGUUACAUGAAGGCCGAGAUGAAGACUCUGCUAGAUUUUCAG
rnacentral:rRNA from 1 species